GGGAUAGGCUGAGUGAACAGCAGGAGGAAACGCAGUAAAUAAAUCAUCUGGUGGCAAAGAAAAAAGGGGAAGCGCACACACAUAGGCAGAGGGAGAGGACGGAGAGAGAGCCCUUCCGAAGACUGGUGGAAAUAUGGUUUGAGUUAUCAUCAACGCCUGCAGCUAUGUGGCGGCAAAAAUCCGGGACUGCUGCCACUGCUGUAAAGAUGAGGGACAGCUGCAAGAACCUUCAUGCCAACCAAAAGACACAGAAGUAAGCAGUUGACGUGCCCCUCCCAGAAUGGCAGAGUCAUCCCAAGUAUGUAACCUUCCAAAGCCGGAACGGCCCAUCGGGACAUGAGGAUAAGAGCCCUCCUGGAGCCCAGCCUCCGUGAUCGGUUGCUGAGCUUCUGCCAGGAGCCCAGCCAGCAACUGUUCUGCCUGAAGAAGCCAAGACACAAAACCUGGAGAAGAACCCUCUCUGCCAUCAUCACAGACUUUCAUGAGGACAGAUUUGCAAACUCCCCGCCGAGGGGAGCAGAAUGUGUCUGAAGCUGCCUGUCUGUGAUUGCCAGAGAAAUAGGCCUUAAGAUGAUGAAUCAGAAGAGAAAGCAAGCAGCUUUUCAUUUAUUAAAAGAGCUAUGACAUUUUA